rnacentral:tRNA from 1 species
GGGCUCUUAGCUCAGUAGGUAGAGCGCCGCCUUUGCAAGGCGGAGGUCGGGGGUUCGAUUCCCCCAGGGUCCA